rnacentral:ncRNA from 1 species
AUAAAGUUUGAAUAACACCUUUUCCAUAAGUUUUAACACCAAUGAUAGUAGCUUUAUCAUAAUCCUUUAAAGCUCCUGCUAAUAUUUCUGAAGCACUAGCAGAGUUUUCAUUUACUAAUACAACAAUUGGAACAUCUAUUAUUGGAUCUUCUUUUGAUUUUAUUUCUGUUUCUUCUCCAUCUUUGUUUGUCUCAAUUAAUAGUGUACUAUCUUUAUCGCAUAUCAUUUCUAAAAUAUCAAUUGCUUCGUCUACUACACCACCACCAUUAUUACGA